AAACAAACAAAACAGACCCUUAUCAUUCCUAAAGUCAGGAAAAAUAAGGAUGCAGCGCCACGACGACACCACGGUCAGCCCCUUCGCGGAAGCGAAGAAGGAGAAGGAUCUUGCUUCAUGGGAAGCUAAUUUAAAAAGGGAGAGCAGG